rnacentral:rRNA from 2 species
CUAUCANNNCAGAUGAGUCCGCGGCCCAUCAGCUAGUUGGCGGGGUAAUGGCCCACCAAGGCAACGACGGGUAGCUGGUCUGAGAGGACGAUCAGCCACACUGGAACUGAGACACGGUCCAGACUCCUACGGGAGGCAGCAGUGGGGAAUUUUGCGCAAUGGGCGAAAGCCUGACGCAGCAACGCCGCGUGUGUGAUGAAGGUCUUUGGAUUGUAAAGCACUUUCGACCGGGACGAAAACCCGUUGGCUAACAUCCAACGGCUUGACUGUACCGGGAGAAGAAGCACCGGCUAACUCUGUGCCAGCAGCCGCGGUAAUACAGAGGGUGCAAGCGUUGUUCGGAAUUAUUGGGCGUAAAGCGCGUGUAGGCGGCGUGACAAGUCGGGUGUGAAAGCCCUCAGCUCAACUGAGGAAGUGCGCCCGAAACUGUCGUGCUUGAGUGUCGGAGAGGGUGGCGGAAUUCCCCAAGUAGAGGUGAAAUUCGUANAUAUGGNGGNNGGAA